rnacentral:lncRNA from 1 species
UUUGAUGUCUGCAUUAUAUGAUACAAGAUCGUAGUUUGAGUAAUGGUAAACUGCAUUCAGAAAAAGGAACGGACAAUGGCUUGGUUGGGGCAAGGGGUCCAAUGUCCUUGCCAUGUCUUCACUUCCAAGACCUUCAAGAACCAGGAGAUAAAUAUAACACCCGGGGCUGCAGCACCCUGGAUGCUGAGAGCAACACCAUGGCUAAUAAUGCUAUGGAAUGCAUGGUAAGAUAUUUAAUGUGUUUCAAGCACCUGCUUAGAAGAUAAUCACCAAUUAAAGUUAUCACGGUUGUCCAAAAGAUUCACAUGGAAGUCUGAGUCUUAAUAGUUUAUCAGCACACUCAUGGAGAUUUACAAAGUUCAGAUGAGGGUGGUGUGGGACUUGGAAAAUCUUUGUUUGCUGAUUUGUUUAAUGUUCAAGUAGAUUAAUUUAGUCUAAUGACCAGCAGUAGUAGGAUCUCUGCGUAGUGUGUAAGUGUGUGGUGUGAAAGAGAGAGCAGAUGGUGUCCGCAACCUUAUACUAGCUAGAAUCCAAUUAACAAGGAUGCUUUAAAAAAUAUACAAGGACCACAUGGUAACUAAGAGUGCUAGCUAUAAGAACAAUAAAAAGGCUAUCAGUUUUAGCAUAUCAUCUUAAUUAAUCAUCAAAGAAAAAACAUGAAAAACUACCAGUCAAUGAAUGAUUGAUUGAUUAGCAACGAGAAAACACUUUUUAGGCCUCAACCUAAAAUGUAGUUGAAUCGAGAUAAAAAAUGUAGAGAAACAGAGCAACAUCUUAUCGCCAACUCAAACAUAAGCAGCGCACUUAGGCCUCAACCUAAUUUAUUACAGAAAAGCAUAAGAUGAAGGUGCUUCACACAUCCUAAACUCUUAUACUCAGUGUCUUUUAGACUGCACAUUUGCAGGGCAUGUGUGGCAUAGAUUGCAUGGUAACCUGUCUAAAUGCCUUAAAUAUGUUUUGUCUUUUUCUUCUUCAACUUCAAUUAUAGGAAUGAGAAGGGCUGCUAAGAUUAUAAAACUUGGCAGGUCCUGCAGGCCACCCAUAAAAAAUUGAAAUAUUUCAUGCUGGUCCCAACUUUCUCUUUCACUGCCUGAUAUUAAAAUUGAAAUCAUUUUCUAAUAUAACAGUCAACAAUAGCAGUUGACUUGUGAGCUGGGUGUAGCAAGCUGCCUAGAGAUUCUUGGCUCGAUUACUGGAUGGUGCAUUCUUAAAAUCCUAAUUAUUGUGCAAGUAAAGAUCUCUCUAAAAAAACAAGAUCAGUUAACUUGCAGGACACAACCGUUCCUUCUAAUUAUUUGGCCUUCCAUCUGGGAGGAUUUAGACUGACACAUGUCGGUUAAUUACUGUACCAAUUAUCUUGGUCUCACAUGUAUUUGAUGCAGUAAUAUAUCCUGGAAACACAUCUUCAACUCAGGACCUGUUUAGCAUCGCUCUUGCUCUCUGCUCUUGUCUUAAAAACUCCAGAAAAAAAAAUGAACUAAGCAGAACAUGAUGUACGAUGAAAAU